rnacentral:rRNA from 1 species
CCCAGACUCCUACGGGAGGCAGCAGUGGGGAAUAUUGGGCAAUGGGCGCAAGCCUGACCCAGCAACGCCGCGUGAAGGAAGAAGGCUUUCGGGUUGUAAACUUCUUUUGACAGGGAAGAGCAGAAGACGGUACCUGUCGAAUAAGCCACGGCUAACUACGUGCCAGCAGCCGCGGUAAUACGUAGGGGGCGAGCGUUAUCCGGAUUCACUGGGUGUAAAGGGAGCGUAGACGGCCGUGCAAGCCAGGAGUGAAAGCCCGGGGCCCAACCCCGGGACUGCUCUUGGAACUGUGCGGCUGGAGUGCGGGAGGGGCAGGCGGAAUUCCUGGUGUAGCGGUGAAAUGCGUAGAUAUCAGGAGGAACACCGGCGGCGAAGGCGGCCUGCUGGACCGCGACUGACGUUGAGGCUCGAAAGCGUGGGGAGCGAACAGGAUUAGAUACCCCCGUAGA